rnacentral:rRNA from 1 species
UUGAUCCUGGCUCAGAUUGAACGCUGGCGGCAGGCCUAACACAUGCAAGUCGAGCGGAUGACGGGAGCUUGCUCCUUGAUUCAGCGGCGGACGGGUGAGUAAUGCCUAGGAAUCUGCCUGGUAGUGGGGGACAACGUUUCGAAAGGAACGCUAAUACCGCAUACGUCCUACGGGAGAAAGCAGGGGACCUUCGGGCCUUGCGCUAUCAGAUGAGCCUAGGUCGGAUUAGCUAGUUGGUGGGGUAAUGGCUCACCAAGGCGACGAUCCGUAACUGGUCUGAGAGGAUGAUCAGUCACACUGGAACUGAGACACGGUCCAGACUCCUACGGGAGGCAGCAGUGGGGAAUAUUGGACAAUGGGCGAAAGCCUGAUCCAGCCAUGCCGCGUGUGUGAAGAAGGUCUUCGGAUUGUAAAGCACUUUAAGUUGGGAGGAAACAGUAAGUUAAUACCUUGCUGUUUUGACGUUACCGACAGA